GACGAACGCUGGCGGCGUGCUUAACACAUGCAAGUCGAACGGAAAGGCCCUGCUUUUGUGUGGUGCUCGAGUGGCGAACGGGUGAGUAACACGUGUGUAACCUUCCCUUGACUUUGGGAUAACUUCAGGAAACUGGGGCUAAUACCGGAUAGGAGCUCCUGAUGCAUAGUGGGGGUUGGAAAGUUUCGGCGGUUGGGGAUGGACUCGCGGCUUAUCAGCUUGUUGGUGGGGUAGUGGCUUACCAAGGCUUUGGCGGGUAGCCGGCCUGAGAGGGUGACCGGCCACAUUGGGACUGAGAUACGGCCCAGACUCCUGCGGGAGGCAGCAGUGGGGAAUAUUGCACAAUGGGCGGAAGCCUGAUGCAGCAAGGCAGCGUGCGGGAUGACGGCCUUCGGGUUGUAAACCGCUUUCGCCUGUGACGAAGCGUGAGUGACGGUAAUGGGUAGAGAAGCACCGGCUAACUACGUG
rnacentral:rRNA from 1 species